UUCUAAUGAUGAAGCUUGCACAAGUCUUACGCACUGUUAAUGCCAGAACCUGAAAAGGUGGACCCACUGGUGUUUCCAAUGCAAAAAGGGGAUAAUUUGUUGGGGUUACCAACUGUCUGAUGGCC